GACAUAGGUGGCAAACGUUAUCCGGAAUUAUUGGGCGUAAAGGGCGCGUAGGCGGCCGGAUAAGUCAAAGGUGAAAUCCCUCGGCUCAACUGAGGAACUGCCUUUGAAACUGUUUGGCUCGAGUCCGGGAGGGGGUAGCGGAAUUCCCAGUGUAGCGGUGAAAUGCGUAGAUAUUGGGAGGAACACCAGUGGCGAAGGCGGCUACCUGGACCGGAACUGACGCUGAUGCGCGAAAGCGUGGGGAGCAAACAGG
rnacentral:rRNA from 1 species